rnacentral:rRNA from 1 species
UACGGAGGGAGCUAGCGUUAUUCGGAAUUACUGGGCGUAAAGCGCACGUAGGCGGCUUUGUAAGUUAGAGGUGAAAGCCUGGAGCUCAACUCCAGAACUGCCUUUGAUACUGAGGAUCUUGAGUUCGGGAGAGGUGAGUGGAACUGCGAGUGUAGAGGUGAAAUUCGUAGAUAUUCGCAAGAACACCAGUGGCGAAGGCGGCUCACUGGCCCGGUACUGACGCUGAGGUGCGAAAGCGUGGGGAGCAAACAGG